GCAUAUCAAUAAGCGGAGGAAAAGAAACCAACAGGGAUUGCCUCAGUAACGGCGAGUGAAGCGGCAAGAGCUCAAAUUUGAAAGCUGGCCCCCUCGGGGUCCGCAUUGUAAUUUGCAGAGGAUGCUUCGGGAGUGGCCCCCAUCUAAGUGCCCUGGAACGGGCCGUCAUAGAGGGUGAGAAUCCCGUCUGGGAUGGGGUGUCCACGCCCGUGUGAAGCUCCUUCGACGAGUCGAGUUGUUUGGGAAUGCAGCUCUAAAUGGGUGGUAAAUUUCAUCUAAAGCUAAAUACUGGCCGGAGACCGAUAGCGCACAAGUAGAGUGAUCGAAAGAUGAAAAGCACUUUGAAAAGAGAGUUAAACAGCACGUGAAAUUGUUGAAAGGGAAGCGCUUGCGACCAGACUCGCCCACGGGGUUCAGCCGGCAUUCGUGCCGGUGUACUUCCCCGCGGGCGGGCCAGCGUCGGUUUGGGCGGCCGGUCAAAGGCCCUUGGAAUGUAACGCCCCCCGGGGCGUCUUAUAGCCAAGGGUGCCAUGCGGCCAGCCCGGACCGAGGAACGCGCUUCGGCUCGGACGCUGGCAUAAUGGUCGUAAGCGACCCGUCUUGAAACACGGACCAAGGAGUCUAACAUCUACGCGAGUGUUCGGGUGUCAAACCCGUGCGCGCAGUGAAAGCGAACGGAGGUGGGAACCCCUCGGGGCGCACCAUCGACCGAUCCUGAAGUCUUCGGAUGGAUUUGAGUAAGAGCGUAGCUGUUGGGACCCGAAAGAUGGUGAACUAUGCCUGAAUAGGGCGAAGCCAGAGGAAACUCUGGUGGAGGCUCGCAGCGGUUCUGACGUGCAAAUCGAUCGUCAAAUUUGGGUAUAGGGGCGAAAGACUAAUCGAACCAUCUAGUAGCUGGUUCCUGCCGAA
rnacentral:rRNA from 1 species